rnacentral:rRNA from 1 species
CAAUAGCGUAUAUUUAAGUUGUUGCAGUUAAAAAGCUCGUAGUCGGAUUUUGGCUGAGAACGAUCGGUCCGCCGUUAGGUGUGCACUGAUUGGUCUCAGCUUCCUGGUGAGGAGGUUUGCUUCACGGCCACUUAGUCACCGUGGUUACUUUGAAAAAAUUAGAGUGUUCAAAGCGGGCUUACGCUUGAAUAUAUUAGCAUGGAAUAACACCAUAGGACUCCUGUCCUAUUUCGUUGGUCUCGGGACGGGAGUAAUGAUUAAGAGGAACAGUUGGGGGCAUUCGUAUUUCAUUGUCAGAGGUGAAAUUCUUGGAUUUAUGAAAGACGAACUUCUGCGAAAGCAUUUGCCAAGGAUGUUUUCAUUGA